AACGAACGCUGGCGGCAGGCCUAACACAUGCAAGUCGAGCGGACCCUUCGGGGUUAGCGGCGGACGGGUGAGUAACGCGUGGGAACGUGCCCUUUGCUUCGGAAUAGCCCUGGGAAACUGGGAGUAAUACCGGAUACGCCCUUUUGGGGAAAGAUUUAUCGGCGAAGGAUCGGCCCGCGUUGGAUUAGGUGUUGGUGGGGUAAUGGCCUACCAAGCCGACGAUCCAUAGCUGGUUUGAGAGGAUGAUCAGCCACACUGGGACUGAGACACGGCCCAGACUCCUACGGGAGGCAGCAGUGGGGAAUCUUAGACAAUGGGGGAAACCCUGAUCGAGCCAUGCCGCGUGAGCGAUGAAGGCCUUAGGGUUGUAAAGCUCUUUCACCGGGGAAGAUAAUGACGGUACCCGGAGAAGAAGCCCCGGCUAACUCCGUG
rnacentral:rRNA from 1 species